rnacentral:rRNA from 1 species
AGGCCUAACACAUGCAAGUCGAGCGCGCCCUUCGGGGUGAGCGGCGGACGGGUUAGUAACGCGUGGGAAUAUACCCUUUGGUACGGAAUAGCCUCUGGAAACGGAGAGUAAUACCGUAUGAGCCCUUCGGGGGAAAGAUUUAUCGCCAAAGGAUUAGCCCGCGUUAGAUUAGGUAGUUGGUGGGGUAAUGGCCUACCAAGCCUACGAUCUAUAGCUGGUUUUAGAGGAUGAUCAGCAACACUGGGACUGAGACACGGCCCAGACUCCUACGGGAGGCAGCAGUGGGGAAUCUUGGACAAUGGGGGCAACCCUGAUCCAGCCAUGCCGCGUGAGUGAUGAAGGCCUUAGGGUCGUAAAGCUCUUUCGCCUGUGAUGAUAAUGACGGUAGCAGGUAAAGAAACCCCGGCUAACUCCGUGCCAGCAGCCGCGGUAAUACGGAGGGGGUUAGCGUUGUUCGGAAUUACUGGGCGUAAAGCGCACGUAGGCGGAUCGGAAAGUUGGGGGUGAAAUCCCGGGGCUCAACCCCGGAACUGCCUCCAAAACUAUCGGUCUAGAGUUCGAGAGAGGUGAGUGGAAUUCCGAGUGUAGAGGUGAAAUUCGUAGAUAUUCGGAGGAACACCAGUGGCGAAGGCGGCUCACUGGCUCGAUACUGACGCUGAGGUGCGAAAGUGUGGGGAGCAAACAGGAUUAGAUACCCUGGUAGUCCACACCGUAAACGAUGAAUGCCAGUCGUCGGGUAGCAUGCUAUUC